rnacentral:lncRNA from 1 species
AAGCUCAAAUCAAACACAAAUGUUUAUCAUACAUAACGCAAAGUUCAUCACAAAUGACAUUAAACACAACUAGUCUUGUUGCACAUUCCACGUCCAUCAAUCCUCGAUGAGAUCUCUUUAAAGAUUUACGUUAGUAUCUGUGGUCCUUUGCUUGAAACUCCACUGCUGGGGCUUUCCCGUUUGCUAACCAUCCAAAGAGUGGUGAUUUUUCUGAAACACCUGGUGAGCACGAAGAUAAAAUAUAUAUCCAUACACCGUAGCAUGCCGGGGCCGAGGCGGUUGCCGGGCCGGCUAGGAAUGUGUUGAAGCCGUGGAUCUUGGGUAGAGAGGUUGUCGUCGUGUCGGCCGACAACCGAGAGCUUGGAAGAGCAGUUGCCCGGUGUUGGCCAGCACGCUCACUUGAAGAAGGACCUCGAGGGCAAACCCGGUUGCUAUGACGGCCGUAUCGGGCGUUAGAGGGGCGAGAAGCUGCCGGAAUAGAUGCAAAUCGACCGGUUGCGGAUGGCCUCGACGGCGACGAGAUCCAGCCGGAAUCGGUGUCUGGUUGCGGCUGGUGGGACCAC